rnacentral:rRNA from 1 species
UAUUAGAAAUAUAAUCUUAAAGAAAACUGAUAUAUAAUUAUUAAUUAUAAAUAUAUAAGUAUAUAAAGGAACUAUUAUGGAAUUUAAGCUAUGUAUUAAAGAGAAUUAGUUAUAUAAAUAAGAUAAAGAUCUUAUAAGUAUAUAAACUCUAAGAGAAAUCUAAUACUAAACGAAGUGAAUUGAAAUAUCUUAGUAACUUCAGGAAAAGAAAUCAAAAGAGAUUCUAUGAAUAGCGUGAGCGAAAGUAGAGGAGCCUAAAAAGUAGAACGGUAUCAAAACUGUUUAAACAUUGGGGAACCUUCCUCAAAGGCUAAAUAUAAUACAUAAGCGAUAGUGAAAAGUACCAUGAGGGAACAAAAACAAAAAUAGUAGUUUUAUAAGCAGUUCGAUAAAAAGAACGUACCUUUUGCAUAAUGGGUCACCAAGUUAACAUUAGAUGCGAGCUGUAUUAGCAUGCGUAGUCAAACCGAACGUUAAAAUAACGAAUAAGUGUCUAAAGUUAGACCCGAAGCCAGGUGAUUUUACCAUAGUCAGGAUUAUAAAAGUCCGAACGGGUGAUUGUAGCAAAAAUCUCCGAAGAACUGUGGUAGGUGUAGUGAAAGACAACACUGACUUGGAUAGCUGGUUUUCUGCGAAACCUAUAAUAGUAGGCAAUUUAAAUAAACAUCUUAGCAGGUACAGAAUUUAAUCUCAGACAAGGCGUUUUAUACGUUUUAUAUUGUACAAAUUGGGGGACCAUGAAGGUUUUAUCAGUGAGUAUGUAGACUCGGAAUGGCAAAGAUGUAUUUUGAAUGAUCAGACAUAGAAUGAUAAGGUUGUAUGUCGAAAGGGAAACAGCCCAGAACAAGAGUUAAGGUUCCUAAAUUAUUAGUUGAGUGAAAUUAAGAAGGUUUUUAUUAAAGUCGACAAGGAGAUAGGCUUAGAAGCAGCCAUAAUUUUAUGACCUCGUAACAGAGCGCUUGUUAAGUUAUAAAAGCAUCGAAAAUAUAACGGAUCUAAACAAUAUACCGAAACCUUGUCCAUUAUAUAUUAUAAUAAUAAUAUUAUUAUAAUUCAAUGGGGUAGCAGAACGUUGAGCUAAAUUAUGAGUUUUAUUUUUUAAAUAGAAUGAUAACGAUUUAACUCAAGUGUGAAUGGUGACAUGAGUAACUAAAAGAAAAUUUUCCGCCUUAAGCUUAUGGAUAUAUUUAAGUAACGGCCUCUAAGUUUAUAUUAUCUAAAGAUUUAAACGAUGAGAAAAUCUUUUUUACUAAGGACGACAUUUUAGUGUAAAAUGUACUGGAAAAAUAGUAAAUAUAUUUAUAGUUAGCUUAGCUUCUAUAAAUGAAGAAUAACCGUACCUAGAAUCUGAAACAAGUAAGCUAGUAGAGAAUACGAAGGCGUAAAUGAGCUAACAAUCAUAAAGGAACUCGGCAAAUUGACUACCGUAACUUCGGAAUAAGGAGGGCUCAUUAUUCUUGAUUAAUAUCAAGUAAAGAGGAAGAAGCAUGAAAUAAUGUUGUACGACUGUUUAAUUAAAACACAGCACUCUGCUGAAAGAUUAAAAAUCUAAGUAUAGAGUGUGAUAUCUGCCCGGUGCCGGCUGGUUAACAGAGAUAAUUGAAUAUACUACUAUUUGAUGUCGACGGAAACCCCGGUUAAAGGCGGCCUUAACGUGAGGGUCCUAAGGUAGCGAAAUGCCUUGGCCGUUAAAUGCGGUCUUGCAUGAAUGGUGUAACGAUACAACAGCUGUCUCUAUGAUUGACUCAGUGAAAUUGGAAUAGCAGUGCAGAUACUGCUUACCUCUAGUUAGACGAGAAGACCCUAUGCAGCUUUACUGUCACUAAUUAUAGAUUAUGAUAGACAAUUUUCAGAUUAUAAGGUAAUUGAUUUAUGACAAUGAGAAACCUUUAUUUUUCUUUCAUAUGAAUGAAUUGGUUUAGGAGUAUAAGUAGAUUGUAAUUUAUGUGGCUUUACUGAGCCAAUUUGUUAAAUUAUAGUCUGUAUGCUUAUACUAGUAGAUCAGCCUAAUUCAACUUAUUAUAUUUAUUAUAGUAAGUACCCUUUGGUAAGGAACUAUCGCUAGGGGACAGUUUAUGUGGGGCACAGACCCUGUAAAGAGUAAACAGGAGUGUCUAAAAAUUUAUAAAUAUUUUGUUUGCUAUUUUGAAUAGUUUAACUAUUCUUAAUCAUAUACAAUUAAUUAUAUUUGCAUUUAUUGUAAAUAUAGUUAAGAUUAGGUAGGAUUUUCACUAUAUAGAAAUUAGAGAUAAUAAAGAUAUUAUGGAAACUCUUCUAAUAUCUUUUAGCUAUCUUUUAGAUAGUUAUGUUUACAAUAUCUAAAAAGCUCAACGGCUUAAUCCUGCCUUACUGUUUGAUUAUCUACAAAUCUUACAGUUGCGUAAGCAGGGCAUAGGAUCACAAGAUGCAACAAGGAAAGAUCUUGGAUUAUUGGAAAAGCUACGCUAGGGAUAACAGGCUAAUUUGCGCAAGAGUGUACAAAAUGAGUGCGCGGUUUGGCACCUCGAUGUCGGCUUAACUUAUCCUCAUGGACGCAGGAACUAUGUAGGGUGCGACUGUUCGUCGAUUAAAAAGUUACAUGAGCUGGGUUAAAUACGUCGUGAGACAGUAUGGUUUCUAUCUUCUAGGGGGAAUUAGAAUAAAAUAAGAACUAACUUUUGUACGCAAGGAACAAGAAGAGUUUAACAUUGUUAGACUAUGGUUACUAACCUAUGGUUUACCUGUUGUUUAUGUGCCCAAAUAUUAAAUAUAUAUACUUUUGUAUAUAUAUCUGUAUUAUUUCGAUAAUACAUAGGGAUGUAUCUUUCACUAAGAUAAUGUAUAGCAUAAGCACGGCAGGAAAGCUAAGUUGGUUAAGGAUAAGUGCUGAAAGCAUAUAGGCACGAAGCUUAUCUUAAGAUAUUUCUUAAAUAUACGUAGCAUAAUACUACGAAUUUAUAGGCUUUAUCCGUAAGAAUCUAGAGAUUUUAAAGAUUAAAGUACUAAUUUAAUAAUUUACUAUUUAUACAUAUAUCAA